rnacentral:rRNA from 1 species
GACGGAGGAUGCAAGCGUUAUCCGGAAUGAUUGGGCGUAAAGCGUCCGCAGGUGGCAGUUCAAGUCUGCUGUCAAAGACCGGGGCUUAACUUCGGAAAGGCAGUGGAAACUGAACAGCUAGAGUAUGGUAGGGGCAGAGGGAAUUCCUGGUGUAGCGGUGAAAUGCGCAGAUAUCAGGAGGAACACCAACGGCGAAGGCAGCUUGCUGGGACGGUACUGACGCUGAGGCGCGAAAGCGUGGGGAGCGAACAGG